rnacentral:rRNA from 1 species
UACAGAGGUCCCAAGCGUUGUUCGGAUUCACUGGGCGUAAAGGGUGCGUAGGUGGUCGGGUAAGUCCGAUGUGAAAUCUCCAGGCUCAACCUGGAAAUGGCAUUGGAUACUAUUCGGCUUGAGGAGUGGAGGGGGGACUGGAAUUCUCGGUGUAGCAGUGAAAUGCGUAGAUAUCGAGAGGAACACCAGUGGCGAAGGCGAGUCCCUGGACACUUCCUGACACUGAGGCACGAAAGCUAGGGGAGCAAACAGG